CAGUAGCCACGGUAAUACAGAGGAUGCAAGCGUUAUCCGGAAUGAUUGGGCGUAAAGCGUCUGUAGGUGGCUUUUCAAGUCCGCCGUCAAAUCCCAGGGCUCAACCCUGGACAGGCGGUGGAAACUACCAAGCUGGAGUACGAUAGGGGCAGAGGGAAUUUCCGGUGGAGCGGUGAAAUGCGUAGAGAUGUGGAGGAACACCAGUGGCGAAGGCGACUCUCUGGUCUGUAACUGACGCUGAGGAGCGAAAGCGUGGGGAGCGAACAGGAUUAGAUACCCCUGUAGUCCCUGUCUCUUAUAC
rnacentral:rRNA from 1 species